rnacentral:rRNA from 1 species
CCCUUAGAUGUCCUGGGCUGCACGCGCGCUACACUGAUGUGUCCAGUAAGCACCUAACCUCUUCCGAAAGGAACGGGUAACCUUUGCAAAGCACAUCGUGAUGGGGAUAGAUUAUUGCAAUUAUUAGUCUUGAACGAGGAAUUCCUAGUAAGCACAAGUCAUCAGCUUGUGUUGAUUACGUCCCUGCCCUUUGUACACACCGCCCGUCGCUCCUACCGAUUGAAUGUUCCGGUGAGCUCUUCGGACUGCGCGGUCUGCAGUUUCUGCGUUCCGUGCGGAAAGUUGCGCAAACCUUAACAUUUAGAGGAAGGAGAAGGCGGAACA